AGAGCCUUAUAUUCUAUUGCGAGUUAUAUGAGUGUCUGAAAUUCAGACACACUAUACGGGUGUCCGAAUUUCGGACACUCUUAUAUUAUAUUGCGCGCGAGUUACAUGGGUGUCUGAAUUUCAGACAGCCAUAUAACUCGCAAUAGAAUAUAAGAGUGU
rnacentral:miRNA from 1 species